AGUUUUGAGCUAAAUAUAUUUAUAAUAUUAGUUAUUUAUGAAGGUGUUGUAAAAUCUUUAUUUAAAAUUAUAUUUAGGGGUGACAGGCCUUUCAAAAACUAAGAUAUCUUGAAUCUAAUUAAAAGUAUGUAGUACAAUUAACACAACUAUUAAGUGAUUAGGCUUUAUAGAAUUAUUAACUUAUAAGAUUUUAUUUACUAUAAUUUAAUAAUUAAGUACAUAAAUAUAUUAAUAUUCAUAUAUUAUAGUUUAUAAAAGAGUAAUUAGAUAGAUUUAAGUUCAUAUUUCUUAUAAUAAUGUUAAUAUUAGUAUUAAGAUUACAUUUAUAUGAUGAACUCGGCAAAAAUACUUCUCAACUGUUUAUCAAAAACAUAACUAUGUGAAUGAAUACAUAGCGGUUUCUGCUCAA
rnacentral:rRNA from 1 species